GCCGGGUGUGGUGGCUCACGUCUGUAAUCCCAGCUACUUGGGAGGCUGAGGCAGGAGAAUCGCUUGAACCCAGGAGACGGAGGUUGCAGUGAGCUGAGAUUGCACCACGGCACUCCAGCCUGGGCAACAGAGCGAGACUCUGUCUCAA
rnacentral:SRP_RNA from 1 species